UUUGUUAUGGUGCCAUCUAUAAAAGCGUUCUUUUGUUUUUAAGAAGAGUCGUGAUGAACGUUCUAAGAGUUUCCAAUCCUAUGCAACAAUUUCAAACAAUAUGGCGAGAAGCGUCAUUUUUAUCACUUCUUAUUUUUUGCAUUCCAGCUUAGGAAAUCAGCUAUUGAAGCUACUGUAAUGCGGCACUGGGAGAGAAUGUUAUAUUUUACAGAACAUGCAAAAAGUGAUAUCAAAGAUUUAAAACCGGAAAUUUUAAUUUAAAAGAUGAUGAUCAUGCAUCGGAAAAGUUUAAUGACGGAGAGGAAUUGCUUAACGAAAAUCCGACCCAGACGCAAAAAGAUUGGAAAUUACCAGACAAGCAGUAUUCAACUGAAAUAAUUAGGUGAGAUUCAAAAGUUUGACGAUGAAGGAGGCCCACAUGAAUUAAGCGAAAUAAAUAAACAUGAAUUAAGCGAAAUAAAUAAGAAAAACAGAUUUCUGCUGCUUUUCAUAGCAUAAAAGGAAAAGUUUUCUGCACAAAAUUGUUAUUGGCGAUGAAAAAUGGGUUUUAUAUGACAAUCACAAACAACGGAAAUUAUGGGUUAAUUCCGGGUAACCAACGAUUUCAGUGGCUUGUAAAAUCGAAGCAAAACCGAACUUGCAUUGUAAAAAAGUUUAUAUGGUAUUUAUAUGGAAAGACAAUAACUGCCGAAUAUUAUCAAAAUCAAUUAAUGAAUUUAUAUGACCAGCUAGAACAAAAACGGUUAUUUAUCAGACCAGGAACAAGAUAUGUGAUUUUGCAGCACGACAAUGUACAUGGAAAAAAAACAUAGGACACAAUUUAUGCAUUGGGAUGGGAAGUCCUGCCAAAUGCGGCAUACUUUCUCUGGCCUUGUCAGACUGUUAUCUUUUUCGAAGUCUGUAACAUUAAUUGUCUGGGAAGCCUUUAACUUGGAAUAAAAUAUCUGAAAAUUUAUUGAUGACUUCAUAACCAGCAAAUAGCUGUCAUUUUUCAGGGAUGGACUUUAUAAUUUACCCACCAGGUGGGAAAAGAUUAUAGAGAAUGAGAGUGAAUACUUUGAGAUAUAAUCUUAUAUCUGAUUUAUAUAAUAAAAUCUUGAAUUUGGAAAAAAA